GUGAGGAAUAUUGGUCAAUGGACGCAAGUCUGAACCAGCCAUGCCGCGUGCAGGAAGACGGCUCUAUGAGUUGUAAACUGCUUUUGUACGAGGGUAAAUGCAGGUACGUGUAUCUGUUUGAAAGUAUCGUACGAAUAAGGAUCGGCUAACUCCGUGCCAGCAGCCGCGGUAAUACGGAGGAUCCAAGCGUUAUCCGGAUUUAUUGGGUUUAAAGGGUGCGUAGGCGGUUUUAUAAGUUAGAGGUGAAAUCUCGGGGCUCAACUCCGAAAUUGCCUCUAAUACUGUAGGACUAGAGAGUAGUUGCGGUAGGCGGAAUGUAUGGUGUAGCGGUGAAAUGCUUAGAGAUCAUACAGAACACCGAUUGCGAAGGCAGCUUACCAAACUAUAUCUGACGUUGAGGCACGAAAGCGUGGGGAGCAAACAGGAUUAGAAACCCUAGUAGUCC
rnacentral:rRNA from 1 species